AUGAAAGUCAUCACAGUUACCGAAGCCAAAGUUGUUGCUCUUUUCAAGUCCAUAAGCGUAGCACCGAUGGCGAGUCCAAGACCCUGGUUCACAAGCAGCCAUUAUCAGCACUAUCUUUUGGGUUCUUAGCAUCUGAUUGCCACCAAAGUAAUCCUAAGAUGACUGCAGUGGAUAAAACUUGUGUGAUUCUCAACCAGCUAAAAUAGUCAUGCCUCCUUUCCUUGAUUCCUCUCCAGAAAAGUAUGGAAUAUUGUUCAUCCCAACUUGCUCCCCAUUGUCUUUUAGGAGAACAUACUUUGGCCUUCAAAUUUUCAUCUAGAGCAAGGUCUAGCAAAAACUCUGCUGGAUUCAUGGAAAUAAGUGGUGAACAUCCUAUUGAUUGGAAAUAAUUCAUUGCUUCUGCUGCUUUUCCAAAGUAAAGUAAGCUCCCUUUCCCAAGAAGGAUCAACUUGUCAAAUUUGUGGAAGAGUCUACUUGAUGGUUGGUGAAUUGUUGUCACUACUGUUUUACCAGCCUACCAUAUAAUUUACAGCAUCUGAACAAUCUUCAAGGCUGUUGUUGAAUCCAAACCAGAUGUUGGUUCAUCAAGAAACAGAAUGGAAGGGUUGAUUAUAAUCUCAUUACCAAUACAAACUCUCUUCCUCUCUCCACCUGAUACUCCGCGAACAAAUGAACCACCGAUCAUGGUAUCUUGGCACCUGUUUCCAUGCAUACAAUACAAACUAUAUUGGCUUCUAUAACUAUGAAAUAGUAAUAUUUGCAUAUUGGUUAUAAUACUCUACCCUUUACUAUGUUACCUUCACACUAUGAUUUUUAUGCUUAUACUUCCUCCGUAUCAUAUUAUAUGUCUCAUUUGAAAUAUUUUUGUCUCAUUAUUUGUCAUUUUAUAAUACGAUUACAACAUUUAUUAUUUUUUUCAAUGUUACCCUUAUCAUUUAUUAAAGUAGUUGCAGCAAGUA